rnacentral:rRNA from 1 species
UACGUAGGGACCGAGCGUUGUCCGGAUUCAUUGGGCGUAAAGAGCUCGUAGGCGGUGUGUCGCGUCGGCCGUGAAAACCUGCAGCUUAACUGUGGGCUUGCGGUCGAUACGGGCAUCACUGGAGUUCGGCAGGGGAGACUGGAAUUCCUGGUGUAGCGGUGAAAUGCGCAGAUAUCAGGAGGAACACCGGUGGUGUAGACGGCUUACUGGACCACGACUGACACUGAGGCACGAAAGCGUGGGUAGCAAACAGG